rnacentral:lncRNA from 1 species
GAAAAGGAGAAGUAUAUUUUGGCAAAGGUAUACUUUCUUGCAUAUUUUAAGGGCUUUCCUUCUCCAUGUUAUACAUUUUAUCCCUUGUGCUAAGCUUGAUCAUCCAUCAACUCGGUCUUCUUGUUUUUCCAUGGAAUUCUACAAAGAGAAUCUCAUGAUCAUUUGUCUGUUGUUUCAUUAGUAGUGGAGGUCCAAUGUAGAAACAAUGUGUCUUCCCACUUAUUGUGAAAGAACUAUUUAAACAAUGUGUCUUUUGUGGUUUAUAGCAGCAGAAAUAGUUGACAGGUUGUGACAGUAGAAACUUUGGUUUCUUUUCUCUCUAAUCUAAUCCCAAGCAGACGAGCAAGUGAAUUCUCCAUUUGCAUUGGGCUUCCAGAUUGGUUGAUCAGAAACCAUCGGCUGGUAGUAAAUUUGAGUCGAAAAAAUGGUCGCGACAAGAUUCAGAGGUGCAGUUUUAAUGAUCUUUUCGAUAUUCCAGGUUCCAUUGAUCAAAAAGCAUACACUUUGAUGUUGUUUGGUGUUAAGUUUCCUCUUUUUUCAUGCUUUGUUUUGUGUGACUGCUAUCCUGAUUUACAUGUCUGCAUUAGAGUAUCUUGGGAUUUUUCUCUUGCUGCCCCUGUUCUUUGGCCUGAAGAGAACUACGAAAUUCUGAAAGUUUUUUGGCCGAUAAAUUUUGAUUUGUAAACUGUAAUUUGAAACCUGCAAUCUGGAACUGUAAUAUGCAAUUUGCAAUCUAGAAUCUGGAACCUGGAACUGUAAUCUGCAGCAAUCUGCAAUCUGGAAUCUGGAACCUGCAACAAUCUGCAAUCUGCAAUCUGCAAUCUGGAGUUUGGAACUGUAAUAUGCAAUCUGGAAUUCAAAAAAUAUGCAGUCUGCAAUCUGUAAUUUGGAACAGCUGCAAUCUGGAACUUCUUGCCUCUUCUAUAACUUCUACAAUCUGAUUUGUUGUACAUUUUAAAUGUGUAGGGAAAUGGAGGUGAUCAAAUUUGAAGGGUCGCCACAAGUCAAUUUGAUCUCAUUGAAGUGGAUGAUGAAGAGUUUUUGAACUAUUGUAAAACUUUGAAUACAUUAUGUUUGCUUUUGUGAAAUAUAUUCAUUGCUAGAAUAUAUUGAACUAUUGUAAGAAUACUUUUUUAACUAUUAUGUACACAUAUUUAGAAUAUUGCUUUAUAAGUUUGUGUAUGUACAGAAGACAUGAUAUUAUCUUUUGAAAUUUAUUGCAAAUCUAUAUAUUUGAAUUACUUAUUAGCCAA